GAUGAAGAACGCAGCGAAAUGCGAUAAGUAAUGUGAAUUGCAGAAUUCAGUGAAUCAUCGAAUCCUUGAACGCACAUUGCGCCCGCCAGUAUUCUGGCGGGCAUGCCUGUCCGAGCGUCAUUUCAACCAUCAAGCCCCCGGGCUUGUGUUGGGGACCUGCGGCUGCCCGCAGGCCCUGAAAACCAGUGGCGGGCUCGCUGUCACACCGAGCGUAGUAGCAAUCACCUCGCUCAGGGCGUGCUGCGGGUUCCGGCCGUUAAACAGCCUUACAAAACCCAAGGUUGACCUCGGAUCAGGUAGGAAGACCCGCUGAACUUAAGCAUAUCAAUAAGCGGAGGA
rnacentral:misc_RNA from 1 species